UACGGGGGGGGCAAGCGUUGUUCGGAAUUACUGGGCGUAAAGGGCUCGUAGGCGGCCAACUAAGUCAGACGUGAAAUCCCUCGGCUUAACCGGGGAACUGCGUCUGAUACUGGAUGGCUUGAGUUUGGGAGAGGGAUGCGGAAUUCCAGGUGUAGCGGUGAAAUGCGUAGAUAUCUGGAGGAACACCGGUGGGGAAGGCGGCAUCCUGGGCCAACACUGACGCUGAGUGAGCGAAAGCCAGGGGAGCAAACGGG
rnacentral:rRNA from 1 species